rnacentral:rRNA from 1 species
AGCUGGCUGGUCCCAUGAGGUGACUUCUGCCCAGUGCUCUGAUUGUCAAUGCGAAGAGAUUCAGCCAAGCGCGGGUAAACGGCGGGAGUAACUAUGACUCUCUUAAGGUAGCCAAAUGCCUCGUCAACCAAUUAUUGACGCGCAUGAAUGGAUCAACGAGAUUCCUGCUGUCCCUAGUUGCCGUCUGGUGAACCAACAGCCAAGGGAACGGGCUUGGAUGUGUCAGCGGGGAAAGAAGACCCUGUUGAGUUUGACUCUAGUUUGAUGCUGUGCAGUGACAUGUUGGGUGUAGAACAGGUGGGAGGCAAGUGCCAAUGGCAAGUCCUGAAGCAGCAGGCAACCAGGUGUGGGUCCAGUACCCUAUCCUCGAGUCGGCAGAGUCAGUGCAGAGAGAGUCCAGGUGCAAACCAGCAGUGAAAUACCACUACCUUCACCGUCGCUUUACUCAUUGAGUGAUCUGGGAACAGCGGCCCUCAGAAUCAGGCCUUCCCUUGUGGAGGGCCUGUGGCCAAUCUCUGCUUCGUGCACAAAGCAUUGCCCUUGUGGCUUUGCGACCCUGGAACAGCAAUCCAAUCAGAAGCCUCAAGACACUGAUCAGUUGGGGAGUUUGGCUGGGGCGGCACGCCUGUUACAUCACAACGCAGGCGUCCUGAAGCAAUGCUCAGAUGGGACAGAAACCUCUCAGAGAGGAUCAGGCCAAAGGUGCUGCUGAUGCUGCGUCUUCCAGUGCAAGACCAAAACGUGCAAGUGUGGCCUAACGAUCCUUUGGCCAAGGAUCAGAGUUUGGGAUAUUGAAGCCAGAGGUGUCAGAAAAAUUACCACAGGGAUAACUGGCUUGUGGCGGCCAAGCGUUCAAAGCGACGUUGCUUUUUGAUCCUUCGAUGUCGGCUCUUCCUAGCUUGCCACCCGCAGCAGAGUGCAAGAGUUGGAUUGUUCACCCACAACAGGGAACGUGAGCUGG